rnacentral:rRNA from 1 species
AUCCUGGCUCAGGAUGAACGCUGGCGGCGUGCUUAACACAUGCAAGUCGAACGGUGAAGCCCAGCUUGCUGGGUGGAUCAGUGGCGAACGGGUGAGUAACACGUGAGCAAUCUGCCCCUGACUCUGGGAUAAGCGCUGGAAACGGCGUCUAAUACUGGAUARGAACCGUGGAGGCAUCUUCAACGGUUGGAAAGAUUUUUUGGUCAGGGAUGAGCUCGCGGCCUAUCAGCUUGUUGGUGAGGUAAUGGCUCACCAAGGCGUCGACGGGUAGCCGGCCUGAGAGGGUGACCGGCCACACUGGGACUGAGACACGGCCCAGACUCUACGGGAGGCAGCAGUGGGGAAUAUUGCACAAUGGGCGCAAGCCUGAUGCAGCAACGCCGCGUGAGGGAUGACGGCCUUCGGGUUGUAAACCUCUUUUAGCAGGGAAGAAGCGAAAGUGACGGUACCUGCAGAAAAAGCGCCGGCUAACUACGUGCCAGCAGCCGCGGUAAUACGUAGGGCGCAAGCGUUAUCCGGAAUUAUUGGGCGUAAAGAGCUCGUAGGCGGUUUGUCGCGUCUGCCGUGAAAUCCCGAGGCUCAACNUNNNNCCUGCAGUGGGUACGGGCAGACUAGAGUGCGGUAGGGGAGAUUGGAAUUCCUGGUGUAGCGGUGGAAUGCGCAGAUAUCAGGAGGAACACCGAUGGCGAAGGCAGAUCUCUGGGCCGUAACUGACGCUGAGGAGCGAAAGGGUGGGGAGCAAACAGGCUUAGAUACCCUGGUAGUCCACCCCGUAAACGUUGGGAACUAGUUGUGGGGUCCAUUCCACGGAUUCCGUGACGCACGUAACGCAUUAAGUUCCCCGCCUGGGGAGUACGGCCGCAAGGCUAAAACUCAAAGGAAUUGACGGGGACCCGCACAAGCGGCGGAGCAUGCGGAUUAAUUCGAUGCAACGCGAAGAACCUUACCAAGGCUUGACAUAUACGAGAACGCUGCAGAAAUGUAGAACUCUUUGGACACUCGUAAACAGGUGGUGCAUGGUUGUCGUCAGCUCGUGUCGUGAGAUGUUGGGUUAAGUCCCGCAACGAGCGCAACCCUCGUUCUAUGUUGCCAGCACGUAAUGGUGGGAACUCAUGGGAUACUGCCGGGGUCAACUCGGAGGAAGGUGGGGAUGACGUCAAAUCAUCAUGCCCCUUAUGUCUUGGGCUUCACGCAUGCUACAAUGGCCGGUACAAAGGGCUGCAAUACCGUAAGGUGGAGCGAAUCCCAAAAAGGCGGUCCCAGUUCGGAUUGAGGUCUGCAACUCGACCUCAUGAAGUCGGAGUCGCUAGUAAUCGCAGAUCAGCAACGCUGCGGUGAAUACGUUCCCGGGUCUUGUACACACCGCCCGUCAAGUCAUGAAAGUCGGUAACACCUGAAGCCGGUGGCCCAUCCCUUGUGGAGGGAGCCGUCGAAGGAGGGAUCGGUAAUAGGACUAUGCGAACAAGG